CUUCUCUCUUACACUCCCUCACUUUCCCACCCGCACCCCACUCCUCACCACCUCCACCAUCCUUUCCAGCAAAGUUUACCAGAAAAUCCCAUAGGAAUAAGCCAAGGCUCACACAUCCAUAUUAUUUGAAUCUUUUCCAGCAAAGUUUACCGGAAAAUCCCAUAGGAAUAAGCCAAGGCUCACACAUCCAUAUUAUUUGAAGUAAAAAUUCCUAAUCUUUUUGGUUCUAACUAAUCUCCUAUGGAGCUUGGAAAAUUAGGCUUUUUGCAGGUUGCAAGGUUUGCCAUUGUGCUAUGAUGUUGGUGAUUAUCCCAUCUUUGUGACGUGUGAUUAACCCCGUCUUUGUGACGACAUCUUUGUGACGUGUGAUUACCCCAUCUUCAUGACGACAAGCCAGGUUGGAGGCUCCCACUUUGCAUGACAUGGGUAAAUCCUUGAGUGUGUGGAUGAGACUGCUGCCCAUUGAGCCAAAAGACCACAUGCAAAAGGGGUACUGUGUGACACGUCAUUCCUUGCUGCCCAUGGGGAGAAAAGGUAAAUCCUUGAGUGUGUGGGUAAGGCUAGGUAGGGCCAAAAGACCACAUGCAAAAGAGGUACUACAUGGCGCGCUAUCCCCUGCUGCUCAUGGAGGGAUAGGUAAAUCCUUAAGGGUGUGGGUGAGGCUAGGUCAGGCCAAUAGACCACAUGCCAAAAGAGGUACAUAUCGUGCUAGUGUCUUUGGGUUUUGACCUGUCUAUGGCGAUAUGAUGUCUUGGUACAUUUUCAUCUUUGUGGCACCUUGGAUUAAUUAGCUAUACCUUGGAUAUGGAGCUUACUUCAUUGGUGAUGAUUAUGCUAUGUUAAAUUUGAAGACUUUUGCUUUAAAUGGUUGGUGACUUAAUCUUGCUUUGUUCAACGAGGCCUUAAUUAAUUUUAUUAGAGGUUGGUCGCUUGAGGUUUGUUAGCCUUAGGCAUGGUAGGCCUAGAAUCGAUGUUAAGGUUCCUUAUUCUAGAUAAGAUUGUGAGUUUGUUUAAUUCAAUUGGAGUUUUGUAAUAUAUUCAUGUAUUAUGUAGAGGCACAUGAUUUUUUGUUAUUGUCCGUAAAAUGUGUUAUAGAACUCUAACUUGUAAU